UAUGUGAUCGUCUCUCGCAUAUCAAUAAGCGGAGGAAAAGAAACUAACUAGGAUUCCCCUAGUAACGGCGAGUGAAGCGGGAAGAGCUCAAAUUUGAAAUCUUAAAGGGUUUCCCUUUACGAAUUGUAGUUUAAAGAAGUGUUUUCUGCUGAGGUUUUGGUAAAAGUUCUUUGGAAUAGGACAUCAUAGAGGGUGAGAAUCCCGUAUUUGACCUUUACUUUCAACUUUGUGAUACACUUUCAAAGAGUCGGAUUGUUUGGGAAUGCAGUCCAAAAUGGGUGGUAAAUUUCAUCUAAAGCUAAAUAUUGGCGAGAGACCGAUAGCGAACAAGUACCGUGAGGGAAAGAUGAAAAGAACUUUGAAAAGAGAGUUAAACAGUACGUGAAAUUGUAAAAGGGAAGCGUUUGACACCAGUGUUGUUUUUCUGAAAAUCAAUUAAAGAACUGUUUAUGCUAACUGUUUAGACUUUAUCAGCUAUCUGUUUAGUUUUGAGCUUUUCUUUAAUGCACUUUUCAGUUAACAAGUCAACAUCAAUUUCUUUUGCUGUAAAAAAGCUUGAGGAAGGUGGCUUGAGAUUCGUCUUAAGUGUUUAUAGCCUCUUGCCUAUGCAGUCGGAGAGAUUGAGGUCUGCAGCGUAGAUCCUUCGGGGCUAAAUGCAUUUGUGCUAAGUUAUAGCAUUUUAUAGACAACUUGUUGACUAUGAUUUGUCUCGUAGCUUACUCGCUUAUGUUAUUUUACCUACGCUUAGGAUGUUGACACACGCGCGUGCUCG
rnacentral:rRNA from 1 species